ACAGCAGUAGCCGCGGGAAAACGAAGGGUGCAAGCGUUAAUCGGAAUGAUUGGGUGUAAAGGGUGUGCAGACGGCUUAUUAAGUCACUUGUUAAAUUCUUCGGCCUAACUGAAGGUCUGCAAGUGAUACUGAUGAGCUAGAGGGUGGAAGAGAGAAGUGGAAUUCUCGGAGUAGCGGUAAAAUGCGUAGAUCUCGAGAGGAACACCAAUGGCGAAGGCAGCUUCUUGGUCCAUUCCUGACGUUCAUACACGAAAGCGUGGGAAGCAAACAGGAUUAGAUACCCCAGUAGUCCCUGUCUCUUAUAC
rnacentral:rRNA from 1 species